AUUAUACGGCGAACUGCGAAUGGCUCAUUAUAUAAGUUAUCGUUUAUUUGAUAGCACUUUUUUACUCGGAUAACUGUGGUAAUUCUAGAGCUAAUACGUGCUGAAAAUCUCGACUUCGGAAGAGAUGUAUUUAUUAGAUUAAAAGCCAAUGCCCUUCGGGGCUUUCUGGUGAUUCAUAAUAACUUCUCGAAUCGCAUGGCCUUGCGCCGGCGAUGGUUCAUUCAAAUUUCUUCCCUAUCAACUUUCGAUGCGAGGGUAUUGUCCUCGCAUGGUUACAACGGGUAACGGAGGGUUAGGGCUCGACCCCGGAGAAGGAGCCUGAGAAACGGCUACUACAUCCAAGGAAGGCAGCAGGCGCGCAAAUUACCCAAUCCCGACACGGGGAGGUAGUGACAAUAAAUACUGAUACAGGGCUCUUUUGGGUCUUGUAAUCGGAAUGAGUACAAUUUAAAUCCCUUAACGAGGAACAAUUGGAGGGCAAGUCUGGUGCCAGCAGCCGCGGUAAUUCCAGCUCCAAUAGCGUAUAUUAAAGUUGUUGUGGUUAAAAAGCUCGUAGUCGAACCUUGGGCCUGGCUACACGGACCGCCUCACCGCGAGAUCUGCCGUAGCCGGGUCUUUCCCUCUGUGGAACCCCAUGGCCUUUACUGGUCGUGGCGGGGAAACAGGACUUUUACUGUGAAAAAAUUAGAGUGCUCCAGGCAGGCCUAUGCUCGAAUACAUUAGCAUGGAAUAAUGAAAUAGGACGCAUGAGCGAAUUUCAUUGGCUAUUCGCUUGUCGUAAUGACCAAUAGGAACGGUCGGGGAUGUCCGUAUUCCGCUGUCAGAGGUGAAAUUCUUGGAUCUGUGGAAGACGAACUACUGCGAAAGCAUUCAUCAAGGACGUUUUCAUUGAUAAGGAACGAAAGUUAGGGGAUCGAAGACGAUCAGAUACCGUCGUAGUCUUAACUAUAAACUAUGCCGACUAGGGAUCGGACGAUGUUAUCUUUUGACUCGUUCGGCACCUUUCGAGAAAUCAAAGUGCUGG
rnacentral:rRNA from 1 species